rnacentral:rRNA from 1 species
UGGGGAAUAUUGGACAAUGGGCGAAAGCCUGAUCCAGCCAUACCGCGUGUGUGAAGAAGGCCUUAGGGUUGUAAAGCACUUUAAGUUGGGAAGAAAAGUUAUUGGUUAAUACCCAAUGACCGUGACAUUACCAUCAGAAUAAGGACCGGCUAAUUCCGUGCCAGCAGCCGCGGUAAUACGGAAGGUCCAAGCGUUAAUCGGAAUUACUGGGCGUAAAGCGCGCGUAGGUGGUUUAUUAAGUUGGGUGUGAAAUCCCCGGGCUCAACCUGGGAACUGCAUCCAAAACUGAUUCACUAGAGUACGAUAGAGGGAGGUAGAAUUCACAGUGUAGCGGUGGAAUGCGUAGAUAUUGUGAAGAAUACCAAUGGCGAAGGCAGCCUCCUGGAUCUGUACUGACACUGAGGUGCGAAAGCGUGGGUAGCGAACAGGAUUAGAUACCCUGGUAGUCCACGCCGUAAACGAUGUCAACUAUCUGUUGGAAAGCAUUGCUUUUCAGUGGAGCAGCUAACGUCGUAAGUUGACCGCCUGGGGAGUACGGCCGCAAGGCUA